UACAGAGGAUGCAAGCGUUAUCCGGAAUGAUUGGGCGUAAAGCGUCUGUAGGUGGCUUUUUAAGUCCGCCGUCAAAUCCCAGGGCUCAACUCUGGACAGGCGGUGGAAACUACCAAGCUGGAGUACGGUAGGGGCAGAGGGAAUUUCCGGUGGAGCGGUGAAAUGCGUAGAUAUCGUUUGGAACGCCGAUGGUGAAAACAGGUCGCUGGGGCUGUGCUGACGCUGAGACACGAAAGCCAGGGGAGCGAACGGG
rnacentral:rRNA from 1 species